rnacentral:lncRNA from 1 species
AUGGCGACCUCUGUCCCCGCAUGGUGCGUGGGCAAGAGCGCUCCCUGGAGCCCCUCUCAGGAGGACACUAAUCCUUUAGGGGCUCCGGCCUUGAGAGGUAACCCCGCACAGGCCGCACUGGUCACCAUCGGAUAUGACCUAAGGUGGACGGACGGCCCGCUCCUCCCCGGGGCCUUACUCUGUCCAGGGCUAGAGACACAUCUGUGCGCAGAGACACAGUCGGCUCGGCGACACCAGCCACGUCCGCGUCCCGCACGGCGUCCCCCUGCCCCCAACCCAAGGGAGACCAUCAGCUCAGGGACGCCGGCCACGUCCCCGUCCCGCACACAGUUGUCCCCCUGCCCGAAACCCAAGGCCAGAGCAGCCAGCAGGUCAGGGCUGAGGCUCCCGCAGGAGGCCGUCCGCAGGCGACACGCGGCGGCCGUGCCUGACACGCAGCCUCCUCCCCCGCGGUCUCCGCCAAAACCGGAGCGCCAGGCUGGUCUCUCCAGGUUCGCGACCACACGGCCGAACCGCUUUCAGCCGAGACAGACACUCACUCAGAGACACACGGCCAAGUCCGGGGUCUUCACGGCAACCGCCGAGCAGCCGUAUCACGGAGGACUCCGGAGACGCCGGGUAGCAAAGGCGGAAGGCGGACGGCGGCGUCGCCUCACAAGCGCUCUUCCGCAGCGCCGCCCGCGGCGAGCUCGCUCGCGGCGCCGCGGGCCCUCGGCCACCACCUGCCGCCCCCCGAGGGCACUCGAGGAGGCGGGCGCGGCGGCCUGGCAGGUUCCAGCGGGACCGAAGGUCGGAAGGUCGCAGCCGCGCCAGCAGCCGGGCCGCCGGCCCGGCCCAAGAUGGCGGCUCCCCGAGGACAAAGGCCGGCCCCGCCCCCGCCCCCGCCCCGUGAGCAGCGCGUGCCGUGCCUCGUGCCUCCGCGGGGCCACGAGGGGAAGCCGGCCGCCGGGACCCCGCCCCCGCCCGUGGCUCGCGGCCCCGCAGCGCGUCUCCUCACCGUCUCUCUCACCCGCGGUGCCACGGGCCUGGCCUGGGGUUCUCUCGUGA